CUCUUUUUAUCUCCUGACAUCCCACUUGCUCACUAGAGAUAGCAGUGUUAUUUUCCAGCAUAAGCACAGCCUUUACAAAGAUGUUUCAGGUUUUUACUACAAGCCUUUCAUUUGCACUGUUUAUGAAGGCAUAUCAUAUAUUGUAAAAUGUCUGUCUUGUUUGCUGGGAGCAUCAGUGUGAUGGGAAAGAAACAAAAGACUACAAGGGAUAACCAGCAGAUGUAAUGAAACAAUGCCAACAGCAAGAGAAAAGAGGCUGUUUCUGGGGCUAGGAAAGUCCUCAAUGGAAUGUGGUCAUGCUAUUAUGAGUUUGGAGAGUGGAUCCUAAAUACAAACAAGUUUGUGUGCACAUUCACUGGAGCUGGUGGAUCUUUUAGAUGCUGAGUAUUGUGCUGGAACUCAUUCACCUCUUUAACUUUCCACCUUUUCCUGGAAAAAUCAAGUAAUGCCCAUGGCUGCGAGGUUUCCAAGAUGUGUUGCCUGGACAGUGUGUUGGUGGCACCUCCUGCUCACCCCUGCUGUGCUCUGGCAUACAACAAUGUGAGGAUGGAGACCCCUCACUGCGAACUGGACUUUGUUUCAGGGCAGGACAAGUGCAGCAGAUACAAUUCUGCUGCAUGUUGUGACCAGUUCAUGUCCUUUUAUUUGGUUUUUUGUGUAUCUGGUUCCUGUUUUUUCUAGAAAGGCAAGUGUUUCUCAGUCACAGUUACCAGUCUUCUCCCUAUUGCAUAGAGGUUUCUUGCUCUUACUGCUUUUAUUAUUAUUGUUGUUUUCAUGGGGCUUUGUGUUGCAUUUCCUUAAUCUUUUGGGGUUUUGAGUGCUUCACAUUUGUUAGCUUCAAGACCUUAAAACUGUGCUUUGGCCUUUAUCGAGCUGAUAGCCUGAUAAGUCAAGUGCGAAGUUGUUUAGAGUAAGAUUGUUGUCACAAAGAGUAGUUGUCCUGUAGUUUACCUUAGCCACACUUUUCAUUAAAGAAUUUCUUUUUAAUAAUUACUGUGCCUCAGCAGAGAGCUAAUAAUCACCUCCUGUUUUACAGGAGCACAGGGGAAAGGCCUGAGUGUCUGGGGCUUUCAGUGGCUGUACUUUAAAAUCAUGAUUAAGAAACUUGAUAGUCACAGUCUACAGCUUUGACUCUGGUGAGUUCUUUCACAGAUCAGGGAAUACAGGAGCUUUGAGACCCUCUCCUCUCCUCUGUGUGUAGUGCGUGUUCUCCUUCCAGAAAGGUGUUAUAGAAAUAACAUUGUGCAUGGACACUUGGUUCUGCAAGGACAUAAGCAACAUCAUAUGAUGAACCUGCUUUGCUACAACUAACUGUAAGUGGCUUUUCUGAUCCCACAAAGUUGAGUUAUUUUGUUUUUUAUAAGAAAUAGGGUGCUUUAAAAUUGUGAUUGAACUCAAGGAAACUGCAUUUGAUUUGUGGAUAUUAUGGAAGCAAUAAAAAAGAGUUUUAAAAAAAAAUCAGUUUUCUGGAGAUCAUUUGUUCAGCUCUACUAUUAAUACUGUUUUGUUUGCCAGACUAUGAUCAAAAACAUUUGGCAGGCAAGACUUGCUCAGGAAAGUGAGCCAGUAGAGUUGAGCUGUCAUCCAAGUACGUACAGAAAAACUGUUCUCUUGGCAUGGAAAACAGACUGUUUACAGAAAUAAUAAACAUGCCCUCUAAAAUUAUGUUCCUUCUCUCUAAAAUCAUGGAAGGUCGCAAGACUUUGACCCUACAGAAGGAGCAUAACACUUUAUGAGACUUCUGUCAAAGCACAUGAUAAAAAAUAAAUACACUGUAAUAAAGAAGUGUCAGUCUGAUGGCUCAAAUGUGCCUUCCUAACAUAUCCUGUCUCCCUUCUUUCAGAUGUGGUAUGCACACUGCCACGCAAAGGAAGCCCAUCUGGAGGGGAUAUCAAAUCAAUCCAUUUUCUUGACGUAUCGGUUGAUGUAAUUAACUUUUGUUUCAUCUCCCAAGUAAACCUUGUAAACAAUAAAACGUGUCAAAGUGAAAUACAA